UACCUCGGCGUCAGGAGUCGAACGCUGGCGUGCGCCUAACACAUGCAAGUGAACGAAGGAUUGUGAAGGAACUUUACGGAGGGAAACGACAAUGACUGAGUGGCGGACGGGUGGAGUAACGACGUAGGGAACCCUGGCCCGUUACAGGGGGAGUAACAGAUGGAAACAACUGCUAAUACCGCAUAAGCGCCCAGCCUCGCAUGAGGCAGAGUGAAAAACUAAGGUGGUAAGGGAUGGCCCUGCGUCCGAUUAGCUAGUUGGUAUGGUAACGGCAUACCAAGGCGACGAUCGGUAGCCGGCCUGAGAGGUGGACGGCCACAUUGGGACUGAGACACGGCCCAAACUCCUACGGGAGGCAGCAGUGGGGGAUAUUGCACAAUGGGGGAAACCCUGAUGCAGCGACACCGCGUGGGUGAAGAAGCGCUUCGGCGUGUAAAGCCCUAUCAGUGGGGAAGAAAAAGGACGGUACCCAAAGAAGAAGCACCGGCUAAAUACGUG
rnacentral:rRNA from 1 species